GACGAACGCUGGCGGCGUGCCUAAUACAUGCAAGUCGAACGCAUUUUCUUUCACCGUAGCUUGCUACACCGAAAGAAAAUGAGUGGCGAACGGGUGAGUAACACGUGGGUAACCUGCCCAUCAGCGUGGGAUAACACUUGGAAACAGGUGCUAAUACCGCAUAAUUCCAUUUACUGCAUGGUAGUUGGAUGAAAGGCGCUUUUGCGUCACUGAUGGAUGGACCCGCGGUGCAUUAGCUAGUUGGUGGGGUAACGGCCUACCAAGGCUGCGAUGCAUAGCCGACCUGAGAGGGUGAUCGGCCACACUGGGACUGAGACACGGCCCAGACUCCUACGGGAGGCAGCAGUAGGGGAUCUUCGGCAAUGGACGCAAGGCUGACCGAGCAACGCCGCGUGAGUGAAGAAGGUUGUCGGAUCGUAAAACUCUGUUGUUAGAAAAGAAAAAGGAUGAGAGUGGAAAGUUCAUCCCUUGACGGUACCUAACCAGAAAGCCACGGCUAACUACGUG
rnacentral:rRNA from 1 species